GGGGAUUUGGCUCAGUGGUAGAGCACUUGCAUAGCAAGUGCAAGGGCCUGGGUUCAGUCCCCA
rnacentral:tRNA from 1 species